rnacentral:tRNA from 1 species
GUGGUAUUAGCUCAAUUGGUUAGAGCGCAGCUCUGUGAAAGCUGAGGUUACCGGUUCAAGUCCGGCAUACCACCCCA